UACGUAGGGACCAAGCGUUGUUCGGAUUUACUGGGCGUAAAGGGCGCGUAGGCGGCAUGACAAGUCACUUGUGAAAUCUCUGGGCUUAACCCAGAACGGCCAAGUGAUACUGUCGCGCUAGAGUGCGGAAGGGGCAAUCGGAAUUCUCGGUGUAGCGGUGAAAUGCGUAGAUAUCGAGAGGAACACCUGAGGUGAAGACGGGUUGCUGGGCCGACACUGACGCUGAGUGCGGCGAAAGCCCAGGGGAGCAAACGGG
rnacentral:rRNA from 1 species